UCGGGAUUCGCCAAGCGGUAAGGCAAGGGACUCUGAAUCCCUCACCGUAGGUUCGAAUCCUACAUCCCGAACCA
rnacentral:tRNA from 1 species